rnacentral:rRNA from 1 species
GACGAACCGUCCUAACGUUGUUCGGAAUCACUGGCUUAAAGGGCGCGUAGGCGGGUCAGCAAGUCCGGGGUGAAAUCUUUCGGCUUAACCGGAAAAGUGCCUUGGAUACUGCUGGUCUAGAGGGAGGUAGGGCAGUGUGGAACUUCCGGUGGAGCGGUGAAUGCGUUGAUAUCGGAAGGAACGCCGGUGGCGAAAGCGACGUGCUGGAUCUCUUCUGACGCUGAGGCGCGAAAGCCAGGGGAGCAAACGGG